AAAGCGAUAAAUUUAUUACAUACUUACGGGAAUGGGGGUACAAUUUAUCGAAUGAGGAUACAACACAAUAAUUAAAUGAUAUAAGCUUUGAAAGACAAUUGUAAAAAUAAAGAAUCUCGUUGUAAGAAGGCCCAAGAGAAAGCCAAGGGACUCGAAGUAAAAAUCAAAAUUUAAACUAAAAGAAAUUUAGCGAUAUGUUAAACAAUCGUAAAGUGAUUCAUGUAUGAAUCACCCUAUCUGAGGUCAGUCAACAAAAUCUAUGCAUCUAAGCGUGUUCGAAGAAAAUCAAAUUUAUGCUUUAAACUCGUAACACAACAAAAUAGAAACGAAAUAGAAACCAUGUGUUGUAUUAUUAUUACAACAAUAUUAUAAUCUUAUUAUGUCACUAUUAUUGUAACCAACAAUUAAAAAAAAUUAUCAAAACUAUAAAAGUAAUAAUUAUAAAAAACAAUAAAACCUCCACCAUGGGGUGUGAGAAGAAAGAGCUAGAUGGUAUAGUAAAAUGGGUUUAAACCAAGAUAAACUCAAAAUUAAACAAAAUUAUUUGAUAACAAAAAAAAAACAUGAACAAUAGUAUCGAAAAAUAUACAUAACUAUAAAUAUAUAUAUAUAACUAUAAUUUCAAAUGAUAAAACUUAUUUUUUGAAUUUACAGCUGAAGAAUAACAAAUCAAUGCAAUGUCUAAGGAGUGAUAAACUAAUCCAAACCAACCAAAACAAGCCUGCAGUAAGGAUAUGUCACUAAACAACCCCUUUAAAUGAAUGACUACAUCGAUUAAAAUAUAAUAACAUAAAUAACAAAAACAAAACACUUUUUUUAAAAAAACAAAUCCACACACAUAACUCCAUAACAAACUAAAAAAAUAAAUAGUAACAAAAUAAAGACACCGAAAAAUGCUAGAGAAAAACAAAAGGUAUGUUUCAUACUAUCAGUAAAACUUGUUAUACUUUUUUACACCAGGCACUAUUCAUCAUCUCUUAUGACUCACAAAAAAUGUAAGUAUAGCCAGCCCAAAACGAAUAUCACAAACAACAAAAGGGGAACAACUUCUCCACUCUAACACCUACCUGAAAACACAGUCGUACACAUGUAAAUGAAAUGUUAAAAAUAAAGGUGAGAACAAAUACCUUGGAGUUCCAAUGAUCCUUGUUGCAUAGGCUUUCUGUCGAGCAAGUGAGGUUUUUUAUCUUCUUUCUUAUUUGAGAUUGAGAGAGAAAUUUAUGUUGCUGAAGAUAUAUGUUUUAUGAAUAGUGGCGCUAGUGGUAUGAUAAUGAAAUGUUACUAUGAGAGAGGAUGGAAUCAUCGCAGUAUCGUUUGGUUUUCUUAAUCAAGCAAAACCCAUUUUUCCUUUAUUCCAAGAGAGAGAAUAAGCUAUGGAGAUAUGAGAGAAAGAUAUGAUGUGUGUUAUUGAGUUUAUGUUGGUAAGCUGAUAGUACACCUCCGCCGAAAGUAUCGCAUCAUUCGAUAAAUCCACAUCAUUGCUAUUUU
rnacentral:lncRNA from 1 species